CUAUAAAUUAUUUACAAAUAUAAAGCUUUAUGAAUUCCAAAUAUAUUAAAUAGAAACAUGACAUACAGUAAGCCAUCACUUUCCGUAUGUUUGUGUGUGAAGGUUUAAGCAGAAUCUAGGAUGGCCACUGGUGUGAAUGAUCACACUAUAUUCAAUAUUAGCCUAUACUGAUGACGUCAAGGGGGUAGGGGCCCCCAAAUCAAAUAAAAGUUUUAAAAAGUAUCGAAAUCGAGAUUCUUCAAAACAAUAAUUUUGGUAUCAUGACACUACUACCAUGGUAUGCAAAGACCAACAGCAGGCAUAUUGUCUUUUGUCAAUUGUCAAUAUACAGAAGUUGGUAAUGUGCUGUUGCCUAAAACAUAUUCUCACAUGGGUCGUGCCAUUUUUUUUGUAAUAUGUCCUGAAGAUGAUACCUAAACAAGUUGCCCAUACUUCAAAAAAUGCUUCAUAGUGUUUUCAUUUAAGCCUAUCAAAAUUUGACCAUCCGUAUCUUAAAAAACUAUUGGUCUGGAAUGAUGUGGCCAAAAGGUGACACGUACAAGUUUAGCAAUGCGGUUGAUAUCAUUGAUAGCGUGACUGAGGGCCCAUAAAGGGGAGGUCACUGCAAUAGCAGCAUUUGGUUUCACUGAAGUCACAGAAGGAUCAGUCCCUCUUACAACGCUGUGGGCCUGUUACUUUUCUUAAUUCUUAAGGAUGUUGAUGAAAGGGCGUGUGAAAGUAUUCUUCUAUUUGUCGAUGCUCCUCCAUCACAAUGUAGCAGGUGUAUGCAGGUUUUACCAUCUUGUGAACACCACUUCAAAAGAGACACAAGAAGUGUUUCAUAAAUUGAAACAGGCUUUCAAAGUGAAUGGGUCAAAUAUACAGUUUACAGACAUUCAACCGGUCAAUGUUUCACAACCAAAAAGAAAUCUGAUGAACCAAACUGACUGUGGACUGAAGUACAUGCUCAAAGCCAUUGAUUUAAUUAAGAAGGUUCAAUCAGACGAUAUCCAUGAUAACAAGCUAGAUAAAGAGCUGACCAACUUGGCCGCUAGAGUGAAUCAAGGCUGCAAUUAUCUGAACUCAGCUUUGGGAGGAGGAUGCUCCAGAAACACAAGUGAACCCCAGCUGCCGGAAUCUAAUUAUGAGAGGAGAAGGUGGUGUCUAAGCAUAUUGGAAAAGUUUGAUAACUUUUUAAGCUCGUUGAGAAAACUGUCUUGUUAACAAAUGUUAACAAAACAUUUUAGGAAUACAAAAUUCCAGAAGUCAUCUUAAUCAGGUAUCUGUGUUAGGACUUACUAUAUAUAAUAUUUAUUUUAUUGUACGAUGUCAUGAAAUGUAUUUGCUGUAUUUCUAUUGUUUUUAUUUAUUUAUAAGAGUAGGCUUUGGAUAGGAAGGCAGGCAAAUACAAAUGAUUGUUCUGUGACUGAAAUGUUGGUGGUGAACUGCACCUUUAUAUAUAACUAAUAAAGUAUUGCUGUUGUAAAGUU